GAUGAACGCUGGCGGCGUGCCUAAUACAUGCCAGUCGAGCGAACGGACGAGAAGCUUGCUUCUCUGAUGUUAGCGGCGGACGGGUUAGUAACACGUGGAUAACCUACCUAUAAGACUGGGAUAACUUCGGGAAACCGGAGCUAAUACCGGAUAAUAUUUUGAACCGCAUGGUUCAAAAGUGAAAGACGGUCUUGCUGUCACUUAUAGAUGGAUCCGCGCUGCAUUAGCUAGUUGGUAAGGUAACGGCUUCCCAAGGCAACGAUGCAUAGCCGACCUGAGAGGGUGAUCGGCCACACUGGAACUGAGACACGGUCCAGACUCCUACGGGAGGCAGCAGUAGGGAAUCUUCCGCAAUGGGCGAAAGCCUGACGGAGCAACGCCGCGUGAGUGAUGAAGGUCUUCGGAUCGUAAAACUCUGUUAUUAGGGAAGAACAUAUGUGUAAGUAACUGUGCACAUCUUGACGGUACCUAAUCAGAAAGCCACGGCUAACUACGUG
rnacentral:rRNA from 1 species